rnacentral:rRNA from 1 species
UGGGGAAUUUUGGACAAUGGGCGAAAGCCUGAUCCAGCAAUGCCGCGUGUGUGAAGAAGGCCUUCGGGUUGUAAAGCACUUUUGUCCGGAAAGAAAUCCUUGGCUCUAAUACAGUCGGGGGAUGACGGUACCGGAAGAAUAAGCACCGGCUAACUACGUGCCAGCAGCCGCGGUAAUACGUAGGGUGCAAGCGUUAAUCGGAAUUACUGGGCGUAAAGCGUGCGCAGGCGGUUUGCUAAGACCGAUGUGAAAUCCCCGGGCUCAACCUGGGAACUGCAUUGGUGACUGGCAGGCUAGAGUAUGGCAGAGGGGGGUAGAAUUCCACGUGUAGCAGUGAAAUGCGUAGAGAUGUGGAGGAAUACCGAUGGCGAAGGCAGCCCCCUGGGCCAAUACUGACGCUCAUGCACGAAAGCGUGGGGGAGCAAACAGGAUUAGAUACCCUGGUAGUCCACGCCCUAAACGAUGUCAACUAGUUGUUGGGGAUUCAUUCCUUAGUAACGUAGCUAACGCGUGAAGUUGACCGCCUGGGGAGUACGGUCGCAAGAUUAAAACUCAAAGGAAUUGACGGGGUCAUAGCUGUUUCCU